UUUCUUAUUAUCGAUGAUGCAUACUAUUGUAAAUUGAAAUACUUUUAUGAUGAAUAAACAUUUCGUCACUACCACUGAGAUAUUGGAUAA